UGGGGAAUUUUGGACAAUGGGCGCAAGCCUGAUCCAGCCAUGCCGCGUGCGGGAAGAAGGCCUUCGGGUUGUAAACCGCUUUUGUCAGGGAAGAAAUCUUCUGAGUUAAUACCUCGGGAGGAUGACGGUACCUGAAGAAUAAGCACCGGCUAACUACGUGCCAGCAGCCGCGGUAAUACGUAGGGUGCAAGCGUUAAUCGGAAUUACUGGGCGUAAAGCGUGCGCAGGCGGUUUUGUAAGACAGAGGUGAAAUCCCCGGGCUCAACCUGGGAACUGCCUUUGUGACUGCAAGGCUUGAGUGCGGCAGAGGGGGAUGGAAUUCCGCGUGUAGCAGUGAAAUGCGUAGAUAUGCGGAGGAACACCGAUGGCGAAGGCAAUCCCCUGGGCCUGCACUGACGCUCAUGCACGAAAGCGUGGGGAGCAAACAGGAUUAGAUACCCUGGUAGUCCACGCCCU
rnacentral:rRNA from 1 species